UAGUUGGUAAGGUAACGGCUUACCAAGGCGACGAUCAGUAGCCGACCUGAGAGGGUGAUCGGCCACAUUGGAACUGAGACACGGUCCAAACUCCUACGGGAGGCAGCAGUGGGGAAUAUUGCACAAUGGGCGAAAGCCGGAUGCAGCAACGCCGCGUGAGUGAUGAAGGCCUUCGGGUCGUAAAACUCUGUCCUCAAGGAAGAUAAUGACGGUACUUGAGGAGGAAGCCCCGGCUAACUACGUGCCAGCAGCCGCGGUAAUACGUA
rnacentral:rRNA from 1 species